rnacentral:rRNA from 1 species
AGAUUGAACGCUGGCGGCAUGCCUAACACAUGCAAGUCGAACGGGAGUAGCAAUACUCUAGUGGCGGACGGGUGAGGAAUACGUAGGAAUUUGCCCUUAAGUGGGGGAUAACCCGGGGAAACCCGGAUUAAUACCGCAUGACCUCGAAAGAGCAAAGUGGGGGAUCGCAAGACCUCACGCUUUUGGAGAAGCCUACGUCGGAUUAGCUAGUUGGUGAGGUAAUGGCUCACCAAGGCGACG